CUUGCCGUGUUGAAUUUGUAGAACGGUCGCCGCGGCGACAGGUCGUGGGUUCAAAUCCCGCCGGCCCGA
rnacentral:tRNA from 1 species